rnacentral:rRNA from 1 species
UACGGGGGGGGCAAGCGUUGUUCGGAAUUACUAGGCGUAAAGGGCUCGUAGGCGGCCAACUAAGUCAGACGUGAAAUCCCUCGGCUUAACCGGGGAACUGCGUCUGAUACUGGAUGGCUUGAGUUUGGGAGAGGGAUGCGGAAUUCCAGGUGUAGCGGUGAAAUGCGUAGAUAUCUGGAGGAACACCGGUGGCGAAGGCGGCAUCCUGGACCAACACUGACGCUGAGUGAGCGAAAGCCAGGGGAGCAAACGGG